rnacentral:rRNA from 1 species
CACUUAGAUGUUCUGGGCCGCACGCGUGCUACACUGAGUGGAUCAGCGGGUCAGGUUGCGCGAAAGUGUUUCCUAAUCUUUAAAUCCGCUCGUGAUGGGGAUUGACGGUUGCAAUUUUCCGUCAUGAACGAGGAAUACCUUGUAAGCGCGGGUCAUCAUCCCGCGCUGAAUACGUCCCUGCCCUUUGUACACACCGCCCGUCGCUCCUACCGAUUGAGUGGUCCGGUGAGGCUUUGGGAUCUGAGCGGAAAGAGCGUUUCGCUGUUUCUGCCCGGAAAACUCAGUCGAACCUUAUCAUUUAGAGGAAGGAGAAGUCGUAACA